rnacentral:piRNA from 1 species
UGGGAAAUCAUGUCACAUGAAGCUAGAGGC